rnacentral:rRNA from 1 species
AUGAAGGCCAGGCUGAAGACUUUGCCGGAUUAGCUGAGAGGUGGUGCAUGGCCGUCGUCAGUUCGUACUGUGAAGCAUCCUGUUAAGUCAGGCAACGAGCGAGACCCACGCCCACAGUUGCCAGCGUACUCUCUGGAGUGACGGGUACACUGUGGGGACCGCCGCUGCUAAAGCGGAGGAAGGAAUGGGCAACGGUAGGUCAGUAUGCCCCGAAUAUCCCGGGCUACACGCGAGCUACAAUGGUUGGUACAAUGGGUAUCUACCCCGAAAGGGGAUGGGAAUCUCCUAAAACCAAUCUUAGUUCGGAUUGAGGGCUGCAACUCGCCCUCAUGAAGCUGGAAUCCGUAGUAAUCGCGUUUCAACAGAACGCGGUGAAUACGUCCCUGCUCCUU